rnacentral:rRNA from 1 species
AGGAAGUGGGAUGACGUCAAGUCAUCAUGGCCCUUAUGUCCAGGGCGACACACGUGCUACAAUGGCCGGCACAGCGGGAAGCAGGGGGCGACCUUGAGCGGAUCCCUCAAAGCCGGUCUCAGUUCGGAUUGCAGUCUGCAACUCGACUGCAUGAAGUUGGAAUCGCUAGUAAUCGUGGAUCAGCCAAGCCGCGGUGAAUACGUUCCCGGGCCUU